rnacentral:rRNA from 1 species
GACGAACGCUGGCGGCGUGCUUAACACAUGCAAGUCGAACGGAAAGGCCCUGCUUUUGUGGGGUGCUCGAGUGGCGAACGGGUGAGUAACAAGUGAGUAACCUGCCCUUGACUUUGGGAUAUCUUCAGGAAACUGGGGCUAAUACCGGAUAGGAGCUCCUGCUGCAUGGUGGGGGUUGGAAAGUUUCGGCGGUUGGGGAUGAACUCGCGGCUUAUCAGCUUGUUGGUGGGGUAGUGGCUUACCAAGGCUUUGACGGGUAGCCGGCCUGAGAGGGUGACCGGCCACAUUGGGACUGAGAUACGGCCCAGACUCCUACGGGAAGCAGCAGUGGGGAAUAUUGCACAAUGGGCGGAAGCCUGAUGCAGCAACGCCGCGUGCGGGAUGACGGCCUUCGGGUUGUAAACCGCUUUCGCCUGUGACGAAGCGUGAGUGACGGUAAUGGGUAAAGAAGCACCGGCUAACUACGUG